GACGAACGCUGGCGGCGUGCUUAACACAUGCAAGUCGAACGGUGAAGCGCCUUCCUUUUUGGUGGGUGUGGAUGAGUGGCGAACGGGUGAGUAACACGUGAGUAACCUGCCCCCUUCUUCUGGAUAACCGCAUGAAAGUGUGGCUAAUACGGGAUAUUCUGGGUCUGUCGCAUGAUGGGUCUGGGAAAGAUAUUGUUUCGGUGGGGGAUGGGCUCGCGGCCUAUCAGCUUGUUGGUGGGGUGAUGGCCUACCAAGGCGGUGACGGGUAGCCGGCCUGAGAGGGUGGACGGUCACACUGGGACUGAGACACGGCCCAGACUCAUACGGGAGGCAGCAGUGGGGAAUAUUGCACAAUGGGCGCAAGCCUGAUGCAGCGACGCCGCGGGAGGGAUGGAGGCCUUCGGGUUGUGAACCUCUUUCGCCAGUGAAGCAGGCCUGCCUCGUUUGUGGGUGGGUUGACGGUAGCUGGAGAAGAAGCGCCGGCUAACUACGUG
rnacentral:rRNA from 1 species